UACGAAGGGGGCUAGCGUUGUUCGGAAUUACUGGGCGUAAAGCGCACGUAGGCGGAUCGAUCAGUCAGGGGUGAAAUCCCAGAGCUCAACUCUGGAACUGCCUUUGAUACUGUCGAUCUAGAGUAUGGAAGAGGUGAGUGGAAUUCCGAGUGUAGAGGUGAAAUUCGUAGAUAUUCGGAGGAACACCAGUGGCGAGGGCGGCUCACUGGUCCAUUACUGACGCUGAGGUGCGAAAGCGUGGGGAGCAAACAGG
rnacentral:rRNA from 1 species